UGGACAGCAGCCAUCUUGUCAGCUCUGGGGUCCACCAUGUCCCUCAUCCUGGAUCUGGACCCCGUUCUAUCCAUCAUCGUGUCCAGCUGUGUGGCCGUGUUCUACACUUUCAUAGGAGGCCUGUACUCUGUGGCCUACACUGAUGUCAUCCAGCUCAUCUGUCUUUGCGUGGGGCUGAUUGUGUCAUGUCCGUUUGCCUUCUUCCACCCAUCUGUUGACGUGUCCAGAAUCCAGGACACGUGGGUGGGUGAAAUGCCC